rnacentral:piRNA from 1 species
UGUCAUCUAUGCCUACCUUAAAUGCUGUUC